rnacentral:rRNA from 1 species
UACGUAGGGUGCAAGCGUUGUCCGGAAUUAUUGGGCGUAAAGAGCUCGUAGGCGGUUCGUCGCGUCGGCUGUGAAAACCUGAGGCUCAACCUCAGGCCUGCAGUCGAUACGGGCGGACUUGAGUACUGCAGGGGAGACUGGAAUUCCUGGUGUAGCGGUGAAAUGCGCAGAUAUCAGGAGGAACACCGGUGGCGAAGGCGGGUCUCUGGGCAGUAGCUGACGCUGAGGAGCGAAAGCGUGGGGAGCGAACAGG